UGCAGUUAAAGCUCGUAGUUGGAUUUUGGUUAAGAGGGCGCGGUCGGCCGUUUGGUCUGUACUGCGUUGUCUUGACUUCCUGAUGAGGACAUGCUCUUGGUUAACGCUGAGACAUGGAGUCAUCGUGGUUACUUUGAAAAAAUUAGAGUGUUCAAAGCGGGCUUACGCUUGAAUAUAUUAGCAUGGAAUAACACUAUAGGACUCCUGUCCUAUCUCGUUGGUCUCGGGAUGGGAGUAAUGAUUAAGAGGAACAGUUGGGGGCAUUCGUAUUUCAUUGUCAGAGGUGAAAUUCUUGGAUUUAUGAAAGACGAACUUCUGCGAAAGCAUUUGCCAAGGAUGUUUUCAUUAAUCAAGAACGAAAGUUGGGGGCUCGAAGAUGAUUAGAUACCAUCCUAGUCUCAACCAUAAACGAUGCCGACUAGGGAUUGGUGGAUGUUAAUUGAUGACUUCACCAGCACCUUAUGAGAAAUCAAAGUUUUUGGGUUCCGGGGGGAGUAUGGUCGCAAGGCUGAAACUUAAAGGAAUUGACGGAAGGGCACCACCAGGCGUGGAGCCUGCGGCUUAAUUUGACUCAACACGGGGAAACUUACCAGGUCCAGACAU
rnacentral:rRNA from 1 species